AAACAUUUUUUCUUUCUCGAGGCCCCCCGUCAAAGGGAAUUUCCGUGAACGAAAAAUUCAAUUAAAUCGAACUUAGAUCUGCAUCAUACUUAUCGAGCGCAUAAAUAAAUCUUGUUUCAAAUCUAAGAGACCCCAUAAAAUCCGUAUCAUUGCGCGAGACCCGUCAAUUCGCUGAUAUUUGAAAACGACGUUCAACGUCGAAAGUUUGACAAUCAAUUGUCAAAUCAGAAAAAAAUGUUCAAUUUGUGAACGUGAAUAUUUUUGGCGAACGUACCGCUGUUUUUACAUUUUAAAUUUUUGUAUAAAUUGUAGCGCAACGGUUGACCAUUGACUCGCCCGAGGUAUUGCGCGUUCGAAUUAUUUGUUUUUAGCUGCCCCGACUGAACUCUCGAAACAGUGGGAGAACAAGUUCGCAGAAGAAAGUUCGAAAGAAAGGCUUGAACGGGAAAAACUCGAGGACAUGGCGAACAUGGCAGUGUCUCGCAUAAAGCGGGAGUUCAAGGAGGUUAUCAAAAGUGAAGAGAUUGUACAGUGCUCGAUCAAAAUAGAAUUAGUGAACGACAGCUGGACAGAAUUGCGUGGAGAAAUCGCUGGGCCACCGGACACACCAUACGAAGGCGGAAAAUUCUUAUUAGAGAUUAAAGUGCCAGAAACUUAUCCGUUCAAUCCACCCAAGGUACGAUUUAUCACGAAAAUCUGGCACCCAAAUAUAUCAUCUGUAACUGGAGCAAUUUGUCUCGACAUAUUAAAAGAUAAUUGGGCUGCAGCUAUGACAUUAAGAACAGUGCUAUUAUCUCUGCAAGCGUUAUUGGCCGCUGCUGAGCCAGAUGAUCCACAGGAUGCAGUCGUAGCUUCACAGUACAAGCACAAUUACUCCCUAUUUUUAAUGACUGCCAGACACUGGACGAACGCAUAUGCAGGAGGACCCAGCAGAUUUGCAGACUGUGAUCAAAAAAUACAGCGCCUAAAAGACAUGGGAAUAGACGAACAUAAGGCAAGGGCGGUGCUUUCAAUGGAAAAUUGGGAUCUAGAAAAAGCAACGGAAAGUUUAUUUAGUUAGCUUUAUUCAUCGACUUUUUUAUUACGGAAAACAAGCAAGGGAAAGAAAUGAAUGUAAAAACCAACAGCGUACACUUUCUUAGCUCACCUUUACCUCCCCUUAUUUUCUUAACUAAUCCACUACUUACUACCGUGAAAUUUGCAACAAGACGUUAUACAAUUUCCAGAUUACUCUCUACUGACUGUGUUUUUGUAUUGGAUGCUCUUUGAAAAUGAAAAUGUAAAGAUUUAAAGAGUCACAGACGUAGCAAAAAAUGCAAAUAUUAUUUAUUGUAAAGAAAAGACUAAGUGAAAAGAAUUUAGUUGAAGCAAACUUUUUACCGAGAAAAGGGGAACACAAUUUGAAAUGUUUGAAGGGAGACAAAAUAUUGAUCUUUAUCUUCUAAUUGGUUCGUUCUUUUAUUCGACUUAAUAUUCUAUAUAUGUUAUCAACUGUAUUUCUUGUGGUAUUUUUAUAAAAUUAAAAUAUAUUUGUGAACAAAAUCAUUAGACUACGAGUUUUUCGCAUUUACUAGGCGAGAUGAGGGUUACAAGAAGAUGAAUAUUUUUUUGGGAGGAGAUGAUGAAAUUCUAUAACAUCUUUCGCGGAUUAAAGAGAAUGAAUUGGAGGUUUGUUUCUGAAUUUGGAGAUUUUAAUGUAUAUUAUGAUUAUUAUUCAAUUUUAUAUUGCUGGUAAUUUGUAGUUAUCUCUGUAUUCGUAUUUGUUAUACAAUAAAUGAUUAAGAAGUGUAUGGAAUGUCGAACCAUG
rnacentral:misc_RNA from 1 species